UAUUCUUAUUUUCUCUUUCUUAUAGAAGGUAUCAUACUACUUAUGUUCUUGCUUUUUUUAUACUUAAAAGAUUUCCUGGAGAUUUUUCCAUAUUAAUAUAUGUAGUUUUUUGUUUUUGUUUUUAUUCCUACAGCUACAUGAUGUUUCUGUAUAUGGACAUUUGGGUUGUUUCUGAUCUUGUUCAUUACAAACAAUGCUAUAAUGAAUAAGCUUGAUAUACUUCAAUUCACAUAGGUACAGGUAUAAGAUAAACUUUUAGACUUUGGAUUUCUGGGUCAAAGAGUAAAUGUAUUUAAAUUUUGAUGGAUGUUGUUAAAUUUCCUUCCAUAAGGAUAGUAUUGUUUUGCACUCCCCAAAGCUUUGGGAUUUUUGCCAGUUAUUUUUGUGUGUUUUGUCCACACUGAUUCUACUAUACAACCUGCUUUUCAAUCCUAAGAAUAAUUUUCUGAGGCCAGGACUAUUGUCCACAUUGUUCCAUGGAAUAUUUUUUAAAAAAAUAAUAUAAGGAAUCAUUGCAAGUAAACUUAAGGAUACAUCCUCUACUCUCAGUCAUGGUAUUGCGUAUCCAAAACUCAUUCCAUGUUAUGAAAUGCACUAAGGUGGGUCAGCAACCUACAGGCUAUGGGCCAAAUCCUGGCCGCUGCCUGUUUUUACAAGUAAAGUUUUAUUGGAACACAGCCACGUUCAUUUGUUAAUGUAUUAUCUGUGACUGAUUUUGUGCUACAACAGCAGUGUUCAGUGGUUGCAGUAGAGACCGUAUGUUCCACAAGCCUAAAAUAAUUUACCUGGCCUUUACCAGAAAAGUUUGUUGGCCCUGUACUAAGAGAGUAGGCUAUAGUUGGAAUAGCAUCAAAGGACCAAGAAAAGACCAAGGAAAAGCUCAGAGUUCUUGUUCAGACAGUUCUGUAGCUUUAAAUAGUUUUGUUGAUUCUCCAAAUUCAGAGUGUUAUGUGGAAAAGGCUAAGAAUUAACUAAGCACUUAAAAAAUAAAAAUCUGUCUAAAUGUAGUGUGGUAUCUUGAGUUGGCCUUAGAAUAGAAAAAGAACAUUAGUGGGAAAACUGGUAAAAUCAGAAUAUAUAGUUUAGUUAACAUUGUACUAAUGUUAAUUUCUCAGUUUUGACAAGAGUACUAUGGUUAUGUAGGAUGUUACUAUCAGAGAAAAACUGAGUGAUAUGGGAACUUUCUCUACUAUCUUUGCAACUUUUCUGUAAAUUUAAAAUUAUUUCAGAGACCCGUGAGAUGCGAGUAGGAGCAGUGUACAGGGUAGUUGUCUCUGAGGGGUGGCAAGGGAAAAGGAUUAACCAUGUCGUCUUUGAUCAGAAAGGUGAUCAGCACUGUGAAAGCCCCAGCGGCCAUUGGUCCCUACAGUCAGGCUGUGUUAGUCGACAGGACCAUUUACAUUUCAGGACAGCUAGGCAUGGAUCCUGCAAGUGGACAGCUUGUGCCAGGAGGGGUGGCAGAAGAGGCUAAACAAGCUCUUCCAAACUUGGGUGAAAUUCUGAAAGCAGCAGGCUAUGCCUUCACCAGUGUGGUAAAAACAACUGUUUUGCUUGCUGACAUAAAUGACUUCAAUACUGUCAGUGACAUCUACAAACAAUAUUUCCAGAGUAGUUUUCCUGCAAGAGCUGCUUACCAGGUUGCUGCUUUGCCCAAAGGAGGCCGUGUUGAGAUUGAAGCAGUAGCUGUCCAAGGACCUUGUGACAACAUCACUCUAAGUGGGCCCAGUGUUACUUAGUCUGGAAUUUUAAUAAUGUUUUUAAAUUAAUUCUUAAUUUUUACAGUCUUUGUUGGAAAGUGUAAGGUUGACUGAAAUAUCUGAAGUUAUUAUGGAAAUACCAUAUAAUAAGGGGAAUUGAACAUGAGUUGAAGAUUAAUAAUGAAUCUAGUUACUGAAGUUAUAAAUUACACUUCUAUAACACUCAUAUUACUGGAUGUGGGAAAAGAGACACACAUUACAUAGUUACUCAGAAAAAUAAAAAUAAAGGGAAAUAACAUGUAGGAAAGAUGAGUUACUAUUCCUGAGAAAUAAUAAAGAGCACACCUAAUUCAGUUAAACUAUUAAUUUAAUGAUGUGAAAUAUUUAGUUUUCAUGUCAGAUACAUGAUUCUGCUUUUACUUGAGUAAAAUUAUUUAAGUUUGAAUGUUAGAGGUAAAGGAGAAGAAACUGGACCAAAUUUUAUAUAGAUAAUAUUUUUCUAAUGGAAAUAAAAUAGCAUGC